UUCUUCCUACGGGAGGCAGCAGUGAGGAAUAUUGGUCAAUGGCCGAGAGGCUGAACCAGCCACGUCGCGUGAGGGAAGACGGCCCUACGGGUUGUAAACCUCUUUUGUCGGGGAGCAAAGCGAGUCACGUGUGACUCAUUGAGAGUACCCGAAGAAAAAGCAUCGGCUAACUCCGUGCCAGCAGCCGCGGUAAUACGGAGGAUGCGAGCGUUAUCCGGAUUUAUUGGGUUUAAAGGGUGCGCAGGCGGGCUGUUAAGCCGGCGGUAAAAAUUCAGGGCUCAACCCUGUCGAGCCGUCGGAACUGG
rnacentral:rRNA from 1 species